rnacentral:rRNA from 1 species
UACGGAGGAUGCAAGCGUUAUCCGGAAUGAUUGGGCGUAAAGCGUCCGCAGGUGGCUGUGUAAGUCUGCUGUUAAAGAGUCUGGCUCAACUAGAUACAAGCAGUGGAAACUACACGGCUAGAGUACGUUCGGGGCAGAGGGAAUUCCUGGUGUAGCGGUGAAAUGCGUAGAGAUCAGGAAGAACACCGGUGGCGAAGGCGCUCUGCUAGGCCGUAACUGACACUGAGGGACGAAAGCUAGGGGAGCGAAUGGG